rnacentral:rRNA from 1 species
CGAUGAACCUCCUUCGGGAGGGGAUUAGUGGCGAACGGGUGAGUAACACGUGGGCAAUCUGCCCUGCACUCUGGGACAAGCCCUGGAAACGGGGUCUAAUACCGGAUACGAGCCUCCACCGCAUGGUGGGGGUUGGAAAGCUCCGGCGGUGCAGGAUGAGCCCGCGGCCUAUCAGCUUGUUGGUGAGGUAACGGCUCACCAAGGCGACGACGGGUAGCCGGCCUGAGAGGGCGACCGGCCACACUGGGACUGAGACACGGCCCAGACUAAUACGGGAGGCAGCAGUGGGGAAUAUUGCACAAUGGGCGAAAGCCUGAUGCAGCGACGCCGCGUGAGGGAUGACGGCCUUCGGGUUGUAAACCUCUUUCAGCAGGGAAGAAGCGAAAGUGACGGUACCUGCAGAAGAAGCGCCGGCUAACUACGUGCCAGCAGCCGCGGUAAUACGUAGGGCGCAAGCGUUGUCCGGAAUUAUUGGGCGUAAAGAGCUCGUAGGCGGCUUGUCGCGUCGGAUGUGAAAGCCCGGGGCUUAACCCCGGGUCUGCAUUCGAUACGGGCAGGCUAGAGUUCGGUAGGGGAGAUCGGAAUUCCUGGUGUAGCGGUGAAAUGCGCAGAUAUCAGGAGGAACACCGGUGGCGAAGGCGGAUCUCUGGGCCGAUACUGACGCUGAGGAGCGAAAGCGUGGGGAGCGAACAGGAUUAGAUACCCUGGUAGUCCACGCCGUAAACGGUGGGCACUAGGUGUGGGCAACAUUCCACGUUGUCCGUGCCGCAGCUAACGCAUUAAGUGCCCCGCCUGGGGAGUACGGCC